GUGGGCGUAGCUCAGUUGGUAGAGCCCCGGAUUGUGGCUCCGGUGGUCGUGGGUUCAAAUCCCAUCGCUCACCCCA
rnacentral:tRNA from 1 species